rnacentral:piRNA from 1 species
UUCAAAUGAAAUGCCAGCUCUCCCGGAGC